AAACAGGUGGAGCUGAAAUGAAUGCCAGGGAUUCAGUACCUUGGUUGUCGGUGUGCGGUAGGUUGGCAUCUGCAAAGGAGCCGGCUUGCUGUAUAAACUGAUGACUAUCGUAUGCACUUUCCUGGUGUUGCAACUGCGACCGAUUGUCGGUUGGUUUGUCGUCCUUCGAAAGGUAGUGCCUGUCUUCGGAUGGGCAUGUUAUAGUCUGGGACAUUGAACCUGACUGACGAUUGGAGCUGGCGCAGCGCCAUCGGCGUCGGCGGAUGAGUUAAUUGCUCAUUGGGUAUGACUGGUCAACAGUCUGCUCUUUGGUGUAGUCGGCUUUGUCUGUCGGGGCUGGUCGUUGCAAUAGUCUGCAGUGUCAAACUAGGUCAUCCACCUGACCCGUCUUGAAACACGGACCAAGAAGUGCAGCACAUGUGCAAGUCAAAGAGUUCUACGAAACUCCACGGCGCAAUAAAAGUGACGGUCUGUCUUGGGCAGUCCGAGGUGAGAUCCUGGAGGCUUCGGCUGAAGGGCGCAUCAUCGGCCCGUGUCAAUAUUCUUCUGAAUAGAUGCGGAGCAAGAGCACAUGUGCUGCGACCCGAAAGAUGGUGACCUAUGCUUGUGCAGGUUGAAGCCAGAAGAAAUUCUGGUGGAGGACCGAAGCGGUUCUGACGUGCAAAUCGAUCGUCAGACAUGGGUAUAGGGGCGAAAGACUAAUCGAACCAUCUAGUAGCUGGUUCCUCCUGAAGUUUCCCUCAGGAUAGCUGGAGUUCAAUGAAGCAGUCGUAUCCGGUAAAGCGAAUGAUUAGAGGUCCUGGGAGCUAAUAGUUCUCAACCUAUUCUCAAACUUUUAAUGGGUACGAUGUCUGACCAGAUUAAUUUUUGGUUGGGCCGUGGAUGCGAACUCCAAGUGGGCCAUUUUUGGUAAGCAGAACUGGCGCUGUGGGAUGAACCAAACGUCUGGUUAAAGUGCCUAACGCAACGCUCAUGAGACACCAGAAAAGGUGUUGGUUGAUAUUGACAGUAGGACGGUGGCCAUGGAAGUUGGAAUCCGCUAAGGAGUGUGUAACAACUCACCUACCGAAUCAACCAGCCCUGAAAAUGGAUGGCGCUGUAGCGUUGGACUUAUACCGGACCGACAUUGUUAACAAUUAACAUGACGCAAUGUCGAGUAAGGAGGUCACCGUGGUUGCGACGAAGCAUAGUAAGUGAUUACGUGUGGAGCGGCCACGGCAGCAGAUCU
rnacentral:rRNA from 1 species